CUUCGUUUCUCUUUCUUCAGAUGAUGAUCCUAAGCCUUCUGGCGAUCUCUUAAAAUAAAGCCUAGCCUGCUUUAAAAAAACGGGCGUUUAGAUACUCUUUAAAUUCUUAUGAAUCUUAAAGAGUAUGAAUUAAAAAAAGGCUUUAUGAAGAAAGCACUUUAAGCUUUUCCAACGAUUUAAGAUGAUACCGGGGAAGGUUUUUCCGGUUUAUCCCGGAGGGCUUGUAGCUCAGUUGGUUAGAGCGCGCGCUUGAUAAGCGUGAGGUCGGAGGUUCAAGUCCUCCCAGGCCCACCAAUUUAUGCUCGUUUUUUGCUUAUUCUUGAGCCUUAUGAAGCUUAAGCGUGUCAAAGCCUCUUUAAUCUUUGUUCAUAGUUUAAAGAUUUAAUUUUAUCUUUCAGAAAUUAUUUGUUAAAUUUAUUUCAUUGCAAAUUUAUCUCAUUACAUUUGUCGAAUAGUGCCUUUGUUAGAGAAUACCUUUGUUAAAGAGGAUUUUAACGUCCCUUCAAGGGUGCAGAUAAAUUUAAAGAAUAAAAAUCAAAUUUAAGCAAUACAAAUCAAAAUAAUAUUGAUUAAAAGAGGAUUAAAAGAGGACAAGUCAUUCAAGUUGAUCAAUUUUCUUGAGAUUGAUUUGAGAGAGCAUUCUUUAGGGGCCGUAGCUCAGCUGGGAGAGCACCUGCUUUGCAAGCAGGGGGUCGUCGGUUCGAUCCCGUCCGGCUCCACCAUUUUAGGUCAUCAUCAUGUUGUAAGAACACGGUUUAGUGAGAGGUUUUUUUACCUCUUGCCUGUUCUAUUGAAAUUGUGAAGAGAAG
rnacentral:tRNA from 1 species